rnacentral:rRNA from 1 species
CCUACGGGUGGCAGCAGUGAGGAAUAUUGGUCAAUGGUCGGGAGACUGAACCAGCGAAGCCGCGUGAGUGAUGAAGUAUUUCGGUAUGCAAAGCUCUAUCAGCAGGGAAGAAAAUGACGGUACCUGACUAAGAAGCCCCGGCUAAAUACGUGCCAGCAGCCGCGGUGAUACGGAGGGGGCAAGCGUUAUCCGGAUGUACUGGGGGUAAAGGGAGAGUAGACGGCGGUGCAAGCCAGAUGUGAAAGCCCGGGGCUCAACCCCCGGACUGCAUUUGGAACUGUGCUGCUAGAGUGUCGGAGAGGCAGGCGGAAUUCCUAGUGUAGCGGUGAAAUGCGUAGAUAUUAGGAGGAACACCAGUGGCGAAGGCGGCCUGCUGGACGAUGACUGACGUUGAGGCUCGAAAGCGUGGGGAGCAAACAGGAUUAGAUACCCGAGUAGUC